GACGAACGCUGGCGGCGUGCUUAACACAUGCAAGUCGAACGGAAAGGCCCUGCUUUUGUUGGUUGCUCGAGUGGCGAACGGGUGAGUAACACGUGAGUAACCUGCCCUUGACUUUGGGAUAACUUCAGGAAACUGCGGCUCAUACCGGAUAUGAUCUCCUGCUGCAUGGUGUGGGUUGGUAAGUUUCGGCGGUUGUGGAUGGACUCGCUGCUUAUCCGCUUCUUGGUGGGGUAGUGGCUUACCAAGGCUUUGACGGGUAGCCGGCCUGAGAGGGUGACCGGCCACAAUGGGACUGAGAUACGGACCAGACUGCUACGGGAGGCAGCAGGGGGGAAUAUGGCACAAUGGGCGGAAGCCUGAGGCAGCAACGCCGCGUGCGGGAUGACGGCCUUCGGGUUGUAAACCGCUGUCGCCUGUGACGAAGCGGGAGUGACGGUAAUGGGUAAAGAAGCAACGGCUAACUACGUG
rnacentral:rRNA from 1 species